rnacentral:lncRNA from 1 species
UAUUAUAGACAUCUUGAAGUUUGCCAUGGCUUUGGUCCCAUUCAUUUAUCAUGCUUGGUCUCUGUUUUAUGAUUGCUUGAAGUUGAUGCAUGUUUUGAUGCCUUGUAUGAGCUUGCUUGAACUUGUGUUGACUUGAUGAAUUUCAUUGACUUGCUUCCCUUGAUCUAAAUAAGCUGAAAUUCGGUGUGUAGGUCAUGUUGUGAA